rfam:Bombyx mori DNA, contig: Bm_scaf20_contig14491, strain: p50T/Dazao, build 2, whole genome shotgun sequence.
UUAACUCAAAUCUGUAUGCAGUUGGAACGUUUGCCUAUAUUUACCGCUAGGGGCGCUGUUCCAACUGCAUCCAAGCUUGAGUUA